rnacentral:rRNA from 1 species
GAUGAACGCUGGCGGCGUGCCUAAUACAUGCAAGUCGAGCGAACGGACGAGAAGCUUGCUUCUCUGAUGUUAGCGGCGGACGGGUGAGUAACACGUGGAUAACCUACCUAUAAGACUGGGAUAACUUCGGGAAACCGGAGCUAAUACCGGAUAAUAUUUUGAACCGCAUGGUUCAAAAGUGAAAGACGGUCUUGCUGUCACUUAUAGAUGGAUCCGCGCUGCAUUAGCUAGUUGGUAAGGUAACGGCUUACCAAGGCAACGAUGCAUAGCCGACCUGAGAGGGUGGACGGCUACACUGGAACUGAGGCACGGUCCAGACUCCUGCAGGAGGACGCAGUAGGGAAUCUUACGCGAGGGGCGAAAGCCUGACGGUGCAACGCGGCGUGAGGCAUGAAGGUCCUCUGAUCGGUAAACUCUGUUAUUAUGGAAAAACAUAUGUGUUAGUAACUGUGCACAUCUUGACGGUACCUAAACAGAAAGCCACGGCUAACUACGUG